UUUCUCACGGAUUUCUUUUACUUAUUUUGACUUGGCCCAGCGGCAGCUCCAUUUGAAAGGUUUUGAGUCUAUUUUUCUGAACAAGCUCCAUGGGGCAGGAAUAGCGUUUUCUUGCUGUAUCUCCAGUGCUGAGAGAGAGGCCUAUACCAGGUGCAUGAUAUAUGCCUAUGGAUACUGAAUGAAAUAAGUGGGUGUUGCUGUCAAACGCGCUGAACACGGCUCUGCCCAUCCUCCCCCAGCGUGGACUUAGCAAAUGCUGGGACGUUUCUGAGAGCUUUUGAUUUUAAUGACUUCAGGAACUAGGAAGAGAGCAGGAUUUGUCUCUGAAAGGAAUGAAUUACAACUGUCUGUACGGACAGUUUUCCUAAAUCAGGCAUGGAGCUACUGUCUAUCUCUUUACCCGGAGAUCCUCUUAGUGACUGAGCCCAAGGGCGGAGUAUUGACCGUGAACUUCCUAAGGUCCCGCGAGGACUAGAACUCCAGAGUCAAGGCUUUGCGUGAACGAGGGGCUCAAACACUGGUGGCGCCUCCACCCCCUCCUAGAGAUGAGGGCCCGUUGUCAAGCGGCCCCUGAGAAGAUGAGGAGGGAUGGAGAAGAUGCUUGUCUGUAGACCGUGUUUUGAGCUCUAUGGCAGCUCCUCUGCAAACCUUAGGAAUGAUGAGACGGGGCAGCAGCAUGAAGGCAGAGGCUUUACCCCAUCAGGGCGCUUUUUAGGUGUUGUGAAAACCCAUGAGAGAACUGCUAAACACAGGAUAGUUAAGCCAUGUUUCUGCUGUUGGUCCUGGGAGCACUGCCACCUCUGCUUGCACCUAGGUGGGCACCUGCCAGCCGAUGGGCCCCUUACUUCGCUGUUAACUCGAGAGCAUUCCUGUUAUACACAGGGAUUCUGAACAGGAAGAAGGGCAUUUCUCAGAAGGAACAGGAGGAAACCUUGAACUCCAGAUAAGAAUAAUCAGUCCUUCCAACGUAACUGCGCAUGCCUAGCUGUCAGCCCCACCAGCGUGGACACGUGACUGAAGAACGCAUCAGCCCAGCUGCCUGUAAGGGAAGGGACUUCUGCAUUCUUUUUUAAGCACAGGACUGCCCUCUUGAAUUUUAGUUACGCAUUAUUUAUAACAUGAAAACAAAUGGCAUUUUGUUCCCCCGAGAAGUGACUCAAGCUAAAAAUCAAACUUUUAAAAAUGUUUUAAAAUGUUCAUAAAUUACACAUAAUAGGUUUCAUCGUGAGUUGCUUACUCACUUGGGAGGUUUGCUUCCUGGAAUUUUUUGUUUUUUUCCGUUUUAGGGCCACACCCAUAGCUUAUGGAAGUUCCCAGGCUAGGGGUCAAAUCUUGAGUCAGCGCUGCCGCUGCCGGCCUACACCACAGCCACAGCAACACUAGAUCUGAGCCGUGUCUGCGACGUACACCACAGCUCACGGCAGUGCCGGAUCCUCAACCCACUGAGCAAGGCCGGGCAUCACACCCAAGUCCUCAGGGGUACUAGUUGAGCUCUUAACCUGCUGAGCCACCACGGGAACGCCUCUCGACCUUGAAAAUUGAGUAGGACCGUGACCUUUCCCACGGCCACUUCCCUGGCCGCCCUCUGUCCGAGAGAGGAUGCUCCUGCCACGGACACGACACUUUGAGAGGAGGGAGGAAAACAGCAGGCAGGUUUUCAGGGCUGAGAUGCAUGAAGAAAUGGUAUGUGAUCUGAGGUUGCUUAGAUUAGACAAGAUGACCGUUUCUGAAGAAAUAACUUUUUAUGAAAUGGUUAUCGAAUCUUAAUUACGCUUGAGGAUUACUCAUGAGCGUGUGCUCCUAAACUAUGUGGGUGAAACAAAUCAACAGUUAGACUUGGGAAUUUGACCGUCCCGCUGAUGAGCCCAGGAUAGUCCACGGGGACAGGGAAUGAAGUCGUCGGGGGCGGGGAGGGGCAUUGGGUCUACGAGGGGGGAAGGAUCAGGUGUCCCAGAGCCUGUUAACUGCAGACUGGUUCAGAAAUAGGAAAUUAGAAGUCCUAACUACUUUAAUUCAGCCUCAGUUUUUUUAAAGCCUACCAUUUUUAAAAAUCAACUCAUAAAUAAUAGUGUUACUAAAUGAGGAACUUUAAGGGGAAAAGCCUCUGACACAGUAAAGCAUCAGACUACUUGCAUUUUCUCUUUGUAACCAAGAAGAGCAAAGUGCAUUUUCAUGCCAAGCAGGUUACAGAGGACCUCAGCGAGGACAGACAAUGAUUUAACCUAACUUUAAGUAUCUCCUAAUUAUUUAUGUGUUCCUGACUAGAUUGUUUGCAAGAAGUUCUGUGAUAUUCUGCUUUUUAUUUUAUUUAUUUAUUUAUUUGUUGUCUUUUUUAGGGCCACACCUGCGGCAUAUGGAGACUCCCAGGCUAGGGGUCUAAUCAGAGCUUCGGCUGCCAGCCCACGCCAAAGCCACAGCAACUCGGGACCCAAGCCGCGUCUGUGACCUACACCACAGCUCACAGUGACACCGGAUCCUUAACCCACUGAGCGAGGCCAGGGAUCAAACCCGCAGCCUCAUGGUUCCUAGGCAGAUUCCUUAACCACUGAGCCAUGACAGAAACUCCUGUGAUAUUAUGCUUUUUAAAAAGCUUUUAUUGGCAUCCUUUCUGACGUAUCAAAACCUGAGCUUCUGUAACGCUUCUUUAGGAGACUGAAUGUGCUGAGAAGGUUUGCUCUAGAAAACCAUUCAUUUGAAGUGAAAAACCGUUUCUCAUGGGUAUAGAGUUGGCUGCCCAAGCGUAUUGAUCGCAUUAACUCUGACCUCACUGAUUUUGCUAUAAUUAAAUCAACUGUUAGAAAA
rnacentral:lncRNA from 1 species